CCUACGGGAGGCAGCAGUGGGGGAUCUUGCACAAUGGGGGAAACCCUGAUGCAGCGACGCCGCGUGAGUGAAGAAGUAUUUCGGUAUGUAAAGCUCUAUCAGCAGGGAAGAACAUGACAGUACCUGACCAAGAAGCACCGUCUAACUACGUGCCCGCAGCCGCGGUUAUAAGUAGGGGGCAAGCGGUAUCCGGAUUUAAUGGGUGCAAAGGGAGCGUAGACGGUUAUGUAAGUCUGGAGUGAAAGCCCGGGGGCCAAGCCCGGGACUGCUUUGGAAACUGUGUAACUGGAGUACAGGAGGGGCAGGCGGAAUUCCUGGUGUAGCGGUGAAAUGCGUAGAUAUCAGGAGGAACACCGGCGGCGAAGGCGGCCUGCUGGACUGAAACUGACGUUGAGGCUCGAAAGCGUGGGGAGCAAACAGGAUUAGAUACCCUUGUAGUC
rnacentral:rRNA from 1 species